AGCUAAAUCCUGUGUUCAUGGAGAUAAACAGAUUGCAGACUGGUGACUUUGGAGCAAGAUCUCACCCAGUAAUGAACCGGCUGCCCGGGAGACUCAUGGCGUCUACAGUCCCCAGGACAGGAAGGGCCAGCGCUGGAGCAGUAAGCUCCUUCUCGAAUGCCUGCCUGCCAGCUCGACGACUCAGAUGAGAUUCAGGAGUCUGGUGCAGGAUAUACAGCAUCAUCAGAAAUUGUGAAAGGCAGGCCACUGAUGACCAGAAAAGCUUUCCGAGUUUACAAGCUGUUCUUGCACCCCUUUCUUCCGGCCUGUGGGAGAAAGUCCUGUCACUUUCACUGCACUGGGAACUUCCGGUGGGGUGGCCACAGCCCUAUCUAGUAAGUAAAAGAACAGAACUGAGCACUGGCGUCCAUCUUGCCCAACCUGCUUGAGACUGUAGUCAUGCUGUAGGUUCAGAGAUGAGCAUCCUAACUCCAGCUGAGCUUGGAAGGCUUCAGGGAGGAGGAGCAUGUGGAGGGGGAAGCACACCGCAGCUCACUUAGUGAGCCCCUCCCAGAUGAUCUAGAGAAGGAUCUAAUUGUUCAAUUUUCAGGAAUUUUGCAAGCCAGUCAUUUCAUAUGGCCAUUACUAAGAAUUACAGGACUUAGACUUAAAUUACCAAAAAAGAAAAGGAUUUAUAAAUAUUAAAAACUCAUUAUUUGCUGCUGUUA